rnacentral:lncRNA from 1 species
GGCCAACCUGACCCUGGAAAACAAACAACCCGCGUCACCGCCACACCUGCUGCAGGCCCCAGAUGCCACAGUGUAUUUCAUGGGCCUCUCUGUAAGGUGGCUAUCUGUUGUGAAGUCUGAGGGGACUGGGUCCCCUCCCAUCCCCCAGCCCCUGCUCUCUGGGAAGUCUGCUGGGUGUGCUGGGCCGGCUCCUGGACAAGCUGAAGCCGAGGACUGCAGCAACUCUUCCCAUCAUCACCCUGGCUGCUGUGGGGAAGCUGGCAGUUUUCUGGAAGACUGCUUGCUUGGAAUGCUUAGCAUCCUCCCAGGCUUCUGACUCUCCACUGGGGAUGCAGAAGGUCUGCAUUGCAGUUUAAUCCACUACUGAGAAUUCCUGUGCUUCUAGAAACCAUCCUCUCACCUCCGAGGGACUCCAUCUUGUCAGCUGCCCAGAGGAGACAAAACGGAACACUGCCCCAUGGCUCAGUGCUUUGCACAGUUGUCAGCUCCUUGGCUGGCAAGCAUCAGAUUGAUUAAAAGGAGGUUUUCUCA